ACGGGUGAGUAACACGUGGGUAACCUGCCUCAAAGAGGGGAAUAGCCUCCCGAAAGGGAGAUUAAUACCGCAUAAUAUGUUUUGAUCGCAUGAUCUUAACAUCAAAGGAAUAGUCUUCGGAUUAUUUCACUUUGAGAUGGACCCGCGGCGCAUUAGCUAGUUGGUGAGGUAAAGGCCCACCAAGGCAACGAUGCGUAGCCGACCUGAGAGGGUGAUCGGCCACAUUGGAACUGAGACACGGUCCAGACUCCUACGGGAGGCAGCAGUGGGGAAUAUUGCGCAAUGGGGGAAACCCUGACGCAGCAACGCCGCGUGAAUGAUGAAGGCCUUCGGGUUGUAAGUUCUGUCUUCUGGGACGAUAAUGACGGUACCAGAGGAGGAAGCCACGGCUAACUACGUGCCAGCAGCCGCGGUAAUACGUAGGUGGCAAGCGUUGUCCGGAUUUACUGGGCGUAAAGGAUGCGUAGGCGGACAUUUAAGUCAGAUGUGAAAUACCCGAGCUUAACUUGGGUGCUGCAUUUGAAACUGGGUGUCUAGAGUGCAGGAGAAGUAAGUGGAAUUCUUAGU
rnacentral:rRNA from 1 species